rnacentral:rRNA from 1 species
AUUGAACGCUGGCGGCAUGCCUUACACAUGCAAGUCGAACGGUAACAGGUCUUCGGAUGCUGACGAGUGGCGAACGGGUGAGUAAUACAUCGGAACGUGCCUAGUAGUGGGGGAUAACUACUCGAAAGAGUGGCUAAUACCGCAUGAGAUCUACGGAUGAAAGCAGGGGAUCGAAAGACCUUGUGCUACUAGAGCGGCCGAUGGCAGAUUAGGUAGUUGGUGGGAUAAAAGCUUACCAAGCCGACGAUCUGUAGCUGGUCUGAGAGGACGAUCAGCCACACUGGGACUGAGACACGGCCCAGACUCCUACGGGAGGCAGCAGUGGGGAAUUUUGGACAAUGGGCGAAAGCCUGAUCCAGCAAUGCCGCGUGCAGGAUGAAGGCCUUCGGGUUGUAAACUGCUUUUGUACGGAACGAAAAGCCCCGGGUUAAUACCCUGGGGUCAUGACGGUACCGUAAGAAUAAGCACUGGCUAACUACGUGCCAGCCGCCGCAGUAA